ACGCUCGACACCUACGGGGAGGCAGCAGUCGGGAAUAUUGCGCAAUGGAGGAAACUCUGACGCAGUGACGCCGCGUAUAGGAAGAAGGUUUUCGGAUUGUAAACUAUUGUCGUUAGGGAAGAGAAAGGACAGUACCUAAGGAGGAAGCUCCGGCUAACUACGUGGCAGCAGCCGCGGUAAUCUGAGCGGGCUGGCAAGGC
rnacentral:rRNA from 1 species